rnacentral:rRNA from 1 species
UACGGGUAGCGCUAGUGUUAUUCCUCUUGAUUGGGCGUAAAGGGUGCGUAGGCGGCUUUAUAAGUCCGUGGUGAAAGCCAACAGCUCAACUGUUGAACUGCCAUGGAUACUGUAAGGCUUGAGUACAGACGAGGUAGGCGGAAUGGAUGGUGUAGCGGUGAAAUGCAUAGAUACCAUCCAGAACACCGAUUGCGUAGGCAGCUUACUAGGCUGUAACUGACGCUGAGGCACGAAAGCGUGGGGAGCGAACAGG